UUGGUGAGGUAAUGGCUCACCAAGGCGUCGACGGGUAGCCGGCCUGAGAGGGUGACCGGCCACACUGGGACUGAGACACGGCCCAGACUCCUACGGGAGGCAGCAGUGGGGAAUAUUGCACAAUGGGCGGAAGCCUGAUGCAGCAACGCCGCGUGAGGGAUGACGGCCUUCGGGUUGUAAACCUCUUUUAGCAGGGAAGAAGCGUGAGUGACGGUACCUGCAGAAAAAGCGCCGGCUAACUACGUGCCAGCAGCCGCGGUAAUACGUAGGGCGCAAGCGUUAUCCGGAAUUAUUGGGCGUAAAGAGCUCGUAGGCGGUUUGUCGCGUCUGCUGUGAAAUCCCGAGGCUCAACCUCGGGCCUGCAGUGGGUACGGGCAGACUAGAGUGCGGUAGGGGAGAUUGGAAUUCCUGGUGUAGCGGUGGAAUGCGCAGAUAUCAGGAGGAACACCGAUGGCGAAGGCAGAUCUCUGGGCCGUAACUGACGCUGAGGAGCGAAAGGGUGGGGAGCAAACAGGCUUAGAUACCCUGGUAGUCCACCCCGUAAACGUUGGGAACUAGUUGUGGGGUCCUUUCCACGGAUUCCGUGACGCAGCUAACGCAUUAAGUUCCCCGCCUGGGGAGUACGGCCGCAAGGCUAAAACUCAAAGGAAUUGACGGGGACCCGCACAAGCGGCGGAGCAUGCGGAUUAAUUCGAUGCAACGCGAAGAACCUUACCAAGGCUUGACAUACACGAGAACGGGCCAGAAAUGGUCAACUCUUUGGACACUCGUGAACAGGUGG
rnacentral:rRNA from 1 species